rnacentral:lncRNA from 1 species
CUGAUACUCUUAGAUGUCUUUUAUUAUUGCUUUUAUUAUUGUUGUUUUUAGACGCCUUAUAUGUUGAAGACAUAUGGCGGGUCUGGGCACGCGCCGGGCGGGCUUCCGCUGGGUCCCGGGGCGUGACAUCAAAAUACCCUUAAAACCCUCAUCUAUGCCCACACACAAGCCUUCGGCCGCUACCUCGCCUACUGUUGCCACCUCGCCCUCGCCCACCCUUCUGCCCAUACCCAAACACAUGCCCUCGCCCUCCUCCGCCAC